rnacentral:pre_miRNA from 1 species
AAUUUCAAUUGAAAAAGUUAUGAAUAUAAAAGUUGUAAAACUCAUCAAGAGCUAAAACUUUUAUUUUAGUUAUUUCUUCAUCCGACCAAGUGAUAAUAAUAUUGUUCAUAAAAUUUGCAUAUAUCUCUUAUAUCUUAUGAAACCAUAUACGAGAUAUGUAAUUUUGUAAACAAUAUUGCUACUGCUUUGUCAGAUGAAAAAAUGACUAAAAUAAAAGUUAUAGAUCUUGAUAAGUUAUACAACUUUGUUGUUGAUGACUUUUUUAGUUGAGAUC